CCAGCUCGAUGUUUCCUGCAAGUCGCUGUGUGAUAUGUUUGAUAUAUUAGGUUGUUACUCAAGUCAACUAUAUAUCAAACAUAUUGCUAUAGUGUCCUGCCCUGUCUCCUGGGUACAA
rnacentral:pre_miRNA from 17 species